GGUUAAGUUAACAAGGGCGCAUGGUGAAUGCCUUGGCACUAGGAGCCGAUGAAGGACGGGACUAACACCGAUAUGCUUCGGGGAGCUGUACGUAAGCUAUGAUCCGGAGAUUUCCGAAUGGGGCAACCCAGCAGUUUUAAUCAACUGUUACCACUAGAUGAAUUCAUAGUCUAGUUGGAGGUAAACGCUGUGAACUGAAACAUCUCAUUAGCAGCAGGAAUAUAAAGAAAUUUCGAUUCCCUAAGUAGCGGCGAGCGAACGGGGAACAGCCCAAACCAAAGUGCUUGCACUUUGGGGUUGUAGGACUGAACAUUUGAGUUACCAAAGAACUUGAUAGUCGAAGGAUUUGGGAAAAUCCGCCAUAGAUGGUGAUAGCCCAGUAGAUUAAAUCAAAUUCUCUCAGUUCAGGAUCCUGAGUACGGCGGAACACGUGAAAUUCCGUCGGAAUCCGGGAGGACCAUCUCCCAAGGCUAAAUACUACCUAGUGACCGAUAGUGAACCAGUACCGUGAGGGAAAGGUGAAAAGCACCCCGGGAGGGGAGUGAAAUAGUUCCUGAAACCAUGUGCCUACAAUAAGUCAGAGCGCGUUAAUGCGUGAUGGCGUGCCUUUUGUAGAAUGAACCGGCGAGUUAUGAUCCCGUGCAAGGUUAAGACUAAAAAGUCGGAGCCGUAGCGAAAGCGAGUCUGAAAUGGGCGUUUUGAGUACGAGGUUAUAGACCCGAAACCAGGUGACCUAUCCAUGUCCAGGUUGAAGGUGCGGUAAAACGCACUGGAGGACCGAACCCGUGUAAGUUGAAAAUUGCUGGGAUGAGGUGUGGAUAGCGGUGAAAUUCCAAACGAACUUGGAGAUAGCUGGUUCUCUCCGAAAUAGCUUUAGGGCUAGCCUCGGAAUUAGGAUCAUGGAGGUAGAGCACUAUUUGGACUAGGGGCCCGUCUUGGGUUACUGAAUUCAGAUAAACUCCGAAUGCCAUUGAUUCAUAUCCGGGAGUCAGACGAUGAGUGAUAAGAUCCACCGUCGAAAGGGGAACAGCCCAGACCAUCAGUUAAGGUCCCUAAAUGUAUGCUAAGUGGAAAAGGAUGUGGAGUUGCAUAGACAACUAGGAUGUUGGCUCAGAAGCAGCCACCAUUUAAAGAGUGCGUAAUAGCUCACUAGUCGAGUGAUCCUGCGCCGAAAAUGUACCGGGGCUAAGCAUACUACCGAAACCAUGGAUGCGACCAUUAGGUCGCGUGAUAGGAGAGCGUUCUAAGGGCGGUGAAGCAAGAUCGUGAGGACUUGUGGAGCGCUUAGAAGUGAGAAUGCCGGUAUGAGUAGCGAAAGAUAGGUGAGAAUCCUAUCCACCGAAUGACUAAGGUUUCCUGGGGAAGGCUCGUCCUCCCAGGGUUAGUCGGGACCUAAGUCGAGGCCGAGAGGCGUAGACGAUGGAUAACAGGUUGAGAUUCCUGUACUAGUUAAGUGCGUUUGAGCAAUGGAGGGACGCAGGAGGCUAAGAUGUGCAUUCUGUUGGAUUAGAAUGUCCAAGCAGUAAGUCUUGUGAAGAGUCAAAUGCUUUUCACUUUAAGGACAAGCUGUGAUGGGGAGCGAAAUUUAGUAGCGAAGCGUCUGAUGUCACACUGCCGAGAAAAGCUUCUAGUGAGUACUUAACUACCCGUACCGCAAACCGACACAGGUAGUCGAGGAGAGAAUCCUAAGGUGAGCGAGUGAACUCUCGUUAAGGAACUCGGCAAAAUGACCCCGUAACUUCGGGAGAAGGGGUGCUGAUCGCAAGAUCAGCCGCAGUGAAUAGGCCCAGGCGACUGUUUAUCAAAAACACAGGUCUCUGCAAAAUCGUAAGAUGACGUAUAGGGGCUGACGCCUGCCCGGUGCUGGAAGGUUAAAAGGAUGGGUUAGCUUCGGCGAAGCUCAGAAUUGAAGCCCCAGUAAACGGCGGCCGUAACUAUAACGGUCCUAAGGUAGCGAAAUUCCUUGUCGGGUAAGUUCCGACCCGCACGAAAGGCGUAACGAUCUGGGCACUGUCUCAACGAGAGACUCGGUGAAAUUAUAUUGUCCGUGAAGAUGCGGACUACCCGCGACAGGACGGAAAGACCCCAUGGAGCUUUACUGUAGCUUGAUAUUGAGUGUUUGUACAGCUUGUACAGGAUAGGUAGGAGCCAUAGAAACCGGAACGCUAGUUUCGGUGGAGGCGUUGGUGGGAUACUACCCUCGCUGUAUGACCACUCUAACCCGCACCACUAAUCGUGGUGGGAGACAGUGUCAGGUGGGCAGUUUGACUGGGGCGGUCGCCUCCUAAAAAGUAACGGAGGCGCCCAAAGGUUCCCUCAGAAUGGUUGGAAAUCAUUCGCAGAGUGUAAAGGCACAAGGGAGCUUGACUGCGAGACAGACAGGUCGAGCAGGGACGAAAGUCGGGCUUAGUGAUCCGGUGGUACCGUAUGGAAGGGCCAUCGCUCAACGGAUAAAAGCUACCCUGGGGAUAACAGGCUUAUCUCCCCCAAGAGUCCACAUCGACGGGGAGGUUUGGCACCUCGAUGUCGGCUCAUCGCAUCCUGGGGCUGUAGUCGGUCCCAAGGGUUGGGCUGUUCGCCCAUUAAAGCGGUACGCGAGCUGGGUUCAGAACGUCGUGAGACAGUUCGGUCCCUAUCCGUCGCGGGCGUAGGAAAUUUGAGAGGACCUGUCCUUAGUACGAGAGGACCGGGAUGGACAUACCUCUGGUGUACCAGUUGUGCCGCCAGGCGCAUCGCUGGGUAGCUACGUAUGGAUGUGAUAAACGCUGAAAGCAUCUAAGUGUGAAACACACCUCGAGAUGAGAUUUCCCAUUCCUUUAUGGAAGUAAGACCCCUGAAAGAUGAUCAGGUAGAUAGGUUAGAAGUGGCAGUGCGGUGACGCAUGAAGCUUACUAAUACUAAUCGGUCGAGGACUUAACCAA
rnacentral:rRNA from 1 species